GAUUAAGUUAUUAAGGGCGCACGGUGGAUGCCUUGGCACUAGAAGCCGAUGAAGGACGUUACUAACGACGAUAUGCUUUGGGGAGCUGUAAGUAAGCUUUGAUCCAGAGAUUUCCGAAUGGGGAAACCCAGCAUGAGUUAUGUCAUGUUAUCGAUAUGUGAAUACAUAGCAUAUCAGAAGGCACACCCGGAGAACUGAAACAUCUUAGUACCCGGAGGAAGAGAAAGAAAAUUCGAUUCCCUUAGUAGCGGCGAGCGAAACGGGAAGAGCCCAAACCAACAAGCUUGCUUGUUGGGGUUGUAGGACACUCUAUACGGAGUUACAAAGGACGACAUUAGACGAAUCAUCUGGAAAGAUGAAUCAAAGAAGGUAAUAAUCCUGUAGUCGAAAAUGUUGUCUCUCUUGAGUGGAUCCUGAGUACGACGGAGCACGUGAAAUUCCGUCGGAAUCUGGGAGGACCAUCUCCUAAGGCUAAAUACUCUCUAGUGACCGAUAGUGAACCAGUACCGUGAGGGAAAGGUGAAAAGCACCCCGGAAGGGGAGUGAAAUAGAACCUGAAACCGUGUGCUUACAAGUAGUCAGAGCCCGUUAAUGGGUGAUGGCGUGCCUUUUGUAGAAUGAACCGGCGAGUUACGAUUUGAUGCAAGGUUAAGCAGUAAAUGUGGAGCCGUAGCGAAAGCGAGUCUGAAUAGGGCGUUUAGUAUUUGGUCGUAGACCCGAAACCAGGUGAUCUACCCUUGGUCAGGUUGAAGUUCAGGUAACACUGAAUGGAGGACCGAACCGACUUACGUUGAAAAGUGAGCGGAUGAACUGAGGGUAGCGGAGAAAUUCCAAUCGAACCUGGAGAUAGCUGGUUCUCUCCGAAAUAGCUUUAGGGCUAGCCUCAGUGAUGAUUAUUGGAGGUAGAGCACUGUUUGGACGAGGGGCCCCUCUCGGGUUACCGAAUUCAGACAAACUCCGAAUGCCAAUUAAUUUAACUUGGGAGUCAGAACAUGGGUGAUAAGGUCCGUGUUCGAAAGGGAAACAGCCCAGACCACCAGCUAAGGUCCCAAAAUAUAUGUUAAGUGGAAAAGGAUGUGGCGUUGCCCAGACAACUAGGAUGUUGGCUUAGAAGCAGCCAUCAUUUAAAGAGUGCGUAAUAGCUCACUAGUCGAGUGACACUGCGCCGAAAAUGUACCGGGGCUAAACAUAUUACCGAAGCUGUGGAUUGUCCUUUGGACAAUGGUAGGAGAGCGUUCUAAGGGCGUUGAAGCAUGAUCGUAAGGACAUGUGGAGCGCUUAGAAGUGAGAAUGCCGGUGUGAGUAGCGAAAGACGGGUGAGAAUCCCGUCCACCGAUUGACUAAGGUUUCCAGAGGAAGGCUCGUCCGCUCUGGGUUAGUCGGGUCCUAAGCUGAGGCCGACAGGCGUAGGCGAUGGAUAACAGGUUGAUAUUCCUGUACCACCUAUAAUCGUUUUAAUCGAUGGGGGGACGCAGUAGGAUAGGCGAAGCGUGCGAUUGGAUUGCACGUCUAAGCAGUAAGGCUGAGUAUUAGGCAAAUCCGGUACUCGUUAAGGCUGAGCUGUGAUGGGGAGAAGACAUUGUGUCUUCGAGUCGUUGAUUUCACACUGCCGAGAAAAGCCUCUAGAUAGAAAAUAGGUGCCCGUACCGCAAACCGACACAGGUAGUCAAGAUGAGAAUUCUAAGGUGAGCGAGCGAACUCUCGUUAAGGAACUCGGCAAAAUGACCCCGUAACUUCGGGAGAAGGGGUGCUCUUUAGGGUUAACGCCCAGAAGAGCCGCAGUGAAUAGGCCCAAGCGACUGUUUAUCAAAAACACAGGUCUCUGCUAAACCGUAAGGUGAUGUAUAGGGGCUGACGCCUGCCCGGUGCUGGAAGGUUAAGAGGAGUGGUUAGCUUCUGCGAAGCUACGAAUCGAAGCCCCAGUAAACGGCGGCCGUAACUAUAACGGUCCUAAGGUAGCGAAAUUCCUUGUCGGGUAAGUUCCGACCCGCACGAAAGGCGUAACGAUUUGGGCACUGUCUCAACGAGAGACUCGGUGAAAUCAUAGUACCUGUGAAGAUGCAGGUUACCCGCGACAGGACGGAAAGACCCCGUGGAGCUUUACUGUAGCCUGAUAUUGAAAUUCGGCACAGCUUGUACAGGAUAGGUAGGAGCCUUUGAAACGUGAGCGCUAGCUUACGUGGAGGCGCUGGUGGGAUACUACCCUAGCUGUGUUGGCUUUCUAACCCGCACCACUUAUCGUGGUGGGAGACAGUGUCAGGCGGGCAGUUUGACUGGGGCGGUCGCCUCCUAAAAGGUAACGGAGGCGCUCAAAGGUUCCCCCAGAAUGGUUGGAAAUCAUUCAUAGAGUGUAAAGGCAUAAGGGAGCUUGACUGCGAGACCUACAAGUCGAGCAGGGUCGAAAGACGGACUUAGUGAUCCGGUGGUUCCGCAUGGAAGGGCCAUCGCUCAACGGAUAAAAGCUACCCCGGGGAUAACAGGCUUAUCUCCCCAAGAGUUCACAUCGACGGGGAGGUUUGGCACCUCGAUGUCGGCUCAUCGCAUCCUGGGGCUGUAGUCGGUCCCAAGGGUUGGGCUGUUCGCCCAUUAAAGCGGUACGCGAGCUGGGUUCAGAACGUCGUGAGACAGUUCGGUCCCUAUCCGUCGUGGGCGUAGGAAAUUUGAGAGGAGCUGUCCUUAGUACGAGAGGACCGGGAUGGACAUACCUCUGGUGUACCAGUUGUCGUGCCAACGGCAUAGCUGGGUAGCUAUGUGUGGACGGGAUAAGUGCUGAAAGCAUCUAAGCAUGAAGCCCCCCUCAAGAUGAGAUUUCCCAACUUCGGUUAUAAGAUCCCUCAAAGAUGAUGAGGUUAAUAGGUUCGAGGUGGAAGCAUGGUGACAUGUGGAGCGGACGAAUACUAAUCGAUCGAAGACUUAAUCAA
rnacentral:rRNA from 1 species